rnacentral:rRNA from 1 species
UACGGAGGGUGCAAGCGUUAAUCGGAAUUACUGGGCGUAAAGCGUGCGCAGGCGGUUUGUUAAGUCCGUUGUGAAAGCCCCGAGCUCAACUUGGGAAUUGCAGUGGAUACUGGCAGGCUGGAGUACGGUAGAGGAAGGUGGAAUUCCCGGUGUAGCGGUGAAAUGCGCAGAUAUCGGGAGGAACACCGGUGGCGAAGGCGGGUCUCUGGGCCGGGUACCGACGCUGAGGAGCGAAAGCGUGGGGAGCGAACAGG